GGGCCAUAGCUCAAUGGGAGACCAUCUGCUUUGCAUGCAGGAAGUCUCAGAUUCAAGCCCUGCCAUCUCCA